GGUUAAGUGACUAAGCGUACACGGUGGAUGCCUGGGCAGUCAGAGGCGAUGAAGGACGUACUAACUUGCGAUAAGCGCAGAUAAGGCAGUAAGAGCCGUUUGAGUCUGCGAUUUCCGAAUGGGGAAACCCAACUGCAUAAGCAGUUACUGUUAACUGAAUACAUAGGUUAACAGAGCAAACCGGGGGAACUGAAACAUCUAAGUACCCCGAGGAGAAGAAAUCAACCGAGAUUCCGGUAGUAGCGGCGAGCGAACCUGGAUUAGCCCUUAAGCACUCGGUGAAGUAGGUGAACAAGCUGGAAAGCUUGGCGAUACAGGGGUGAUAGCCCCGUAACCGACGCUUCAUCGAGCGUGAAAUCGAGUAGGGCGGGACACGUGAUAUCCUGUCUGAAUAUGGGGGGACCAUCCUCCAAGGCUAAAUACUCCUGACUGACCGAUAGUGAACCAGUACCGUGAGGGAAAGGCGAAAAGAACCCCUGUGAGGGGAGUGAAAUAGAACCUGAAACCGUGUACGUACAAGCAGUAGGAGCACCUUCGUGGUGUGACUGCGUACCUUUUGUAUAAUGGGUCAGCGACUUAUAUUCAGUGGCAAGGUUAACCGUAUAGGGGAGCCGUAGCGAAAGCGAGUCUUAACUGGGCGCUCAGUCUCUGGAUAUAGACCCGAAACCGGGUGAUCUAGCCAUGGGCAGGUUGAAGGUUGAGUAACAUCAACUGGAGGACCGAACCGACUAAUGUUGAAAAAUUAGCGGAUGACUUGUGGCUAGGGGUGAAAGGCCAAUCAAACUCGGAGAUAGCUGGUUCUCCCCGAAAGCUAUUUAGGUAGCGCCUCGGACGAAUACUACUGGGGGUAGAGCACUGUUAAGGCUAGGGGGUCAUCCCGACUUACCAACCCUUUGCAAACUCCGAAUACCAGUAAGUACUAUCCGGGAGACACACGGCGGGUGCUAACGUCCGUCGUGGAGAGGGAAACAACCCAGACCGCCAGCUAAGGUCCCAAAGUAUUGCUAAGUGGGAAACGAUGUGGGAAGGCUCAGACAGCUAGGAUGUUGGCUUAGAAGCAGCCAUCAUUUAAAGAAAGCGUAAUAGCUCACUAGUCGAGUCGGCCUGCGCGGAAGAUGUAACGGGGCUAAGCAAUACACCGAAGCUGCGGCAAUAUCUUUUAGAUAUUGGGUAGGGGAGCGUUCUGUAAGCCGUUGAAGGUGAAUCGUAAGGUUUGCUGGAGGUAUCAGAAGUGCGAAUGCUGACAUGAGUAACGACAAAGGGGGUGAAAAACCUCCUCGCCGGAAGACCAAGGGUUCCUGUCCAACGUUAAUCGGGGCAGGGUGAGUCGACCCCUAAGGUGAGGCCGAAAGGCGUAAUCGAUGGGAAACGGGUUAAUAUUCCCGUACUUCUGACUAUUGCGAUGGGGGGACGGAGAAGGCUAGGUGGGCCAGGCGACGGUUGUCCUGGUUCAAGUGCGUAGGCUUGAGAGUUAGGUAAAUCCGGCUCUCUCUAAGGCUGAGACACGACGUCGAGCUACUACGGUAGUGAAGUCAUUGAUGCCAUGCUUCCAGGAAAAGCCUCUAAGCUUCAGAUAGUCAGGAAUCGUACCCCAAACCGACACAGGUGGUCGGGUAGAGAAUACCAAGGCGCUUGAGAGAACUCGGGUGAAGGAACUAGGCAAAAUGGUACCGUAACUUCGGGAGAAGGUACGCUCUUGAUGGUGAAGUCCCUCGCGGAUGGAGCUGACGAGAGUCGCAGAUACCAGGUGGCUGCAACUGUUUAUUAAAAACACAGCACUGUGCAAAAUCGCAAGAUGACGUAUACGGUGUGACGCCUGCCCGGUGCCGGAAGGUUAAUUGAUGGGGUUAGCGCAAGCGAAGCUCUUGAUCGAAGCCCCGGUAAACGGCGGCCGUAACUAUAACGGUCCUAAGGUAGCGAAAUUCCUUGUCGGGUAAGUUCCGACCUGCACGAAUGGCGUAAUGAUGGCCACGCUGUCUCCACCCGAGACUCAGUGAAAUUGAAAUCGCUGUGAAGAUGCAGUGUACCCGCGGCUAGACGGAAAGACCCCGUGAACCUUUACUACAGCUUGGCACUGAACAUUGAACCUACAUGUGUAGGAUAGGUGGGAGGCUAUGAAGACGUGACGCCAGUUGCGUUGGAGCCGUCCUUGAAAUACCACCCUUGUAUGUUUGAUGUUCUAACUUAGACCCAUUAUCUGGGUUGAGGACAGUGCCUGGUGGGUAGUUUGACUGGGGCGGUCUCCUCCCAAAGAGUAACGGAGGAGCACGAAGGUGGGCUAAUCACGGUUGGACAUCGUGAGGUUAGUGCAAUGGCAUAAGCCCGCUUAACUGCGAGAAUGACGGUUCGAGCAGGUGCGAAAGCAGGUCAUAGUGAUCCGGUGGUUCUGUAUGGAAGGGCCAUCGCUCAACGGAUAAAAGGUACUCCGGGGAUAACAGGCUGAUACCGCCCAAGAGUUCAUAUCGACGGCGGUGUUUGGCACCUCGAUGUCGGCUCAUCACAUCCUGGGGCUGAAGUCGGUCCCAAGGGUAUGGCUGUUCGCCAUUUAAAGUGGUACGCGAGCUGGGUUUAGAACGUCGUGAGACAGUUCGGUCCCUAUCUGCCGUGGGCGUUGGAAGAUUGAAGGGGGCUGCUCCUAGUACGAGAGGACCGGAGUGGACGAACCUCUGGUGUUCGGGUUGUGUCGCCAGACGCAUUGCCCGGUAGCUAAGUUCGGAAUUGAUAAGCGCUGAAAGCAUCUAAGCGCGAAGCGAGCCCUGAGAUGAGUCUUCCCUGACAGUUUAACUGUCCUAAAGGGUUGUUCGAGACUAGAACGUUGAUAGGCAGGGUGUGUAAGCGUUGUGAGGCGUUGAGCUAACCUGUACUAAUUGCCCGUGAGGCUUAACCAU
rnacentral:rRNA from 1 species